rnacentral:snRNA from 1 species
GUGCUUGCUUCUUCAGCACCUAUACUAAAAUUGGAGUGAUACAGAGGAGAUUAGUAUGGUCCCUGUUUGAAGAAGACACACAAAUUUAUGAAGUAUUCCGUAUUUUU